CAGGGCUCUGUGCAGGACACUCGAGUUCUUCCACACCAACCCUGGCAAAGUAUGUCUUUAUAGACCUUUGAUUGUGCACAGGGGCAUUGUCAUGCUGGAACAGGUUUGGGCCUCUUAGUUCCAGUGAAAGGAAAUCUUAAUAUUACAACAUACACAGACAUCCUAUACAAUUAUGUGCUUCCAAAUUUGUGGCAACAGUUUAAGGAAGACCCACACAUGGGUGUGAUGGUCAGGUGUCCACGUACUUUUGGCUACAUAUAGUGUAAACGAGUACUUACAUUACACAAUCUAUCUAUGCGUUCAUCCCCUCUGUUUGGAUCAUGGUCUGUAGUUGACUAACCAAGACAGAAUCCUUUGUAAUGUUCAGAGCAUCACAGUUUUUAGAGCUGUUUUAUUAUGUUCUAAUGAACUCAUUCACUGGGAGUUUUCUAGCCAACAUUAUUAGUCUAAGGCUAAAAAUACAUGGCUUUUAAAAAUGUGUUGUUAUUUACCAAAGAAAAACAUAUAAUCAUUGACAUGAAUGUUUCUGUAAAGAUACUUUUUUUUAAAAUUAUUUUUACGUUUUUGGUCUCGGGUCCCUGGUGUCAAUGCUUUGCAAGAGUCAGUAAGUUUUCCACUUAGGGAAAGUAUUUAGGACAGAGGACUCAUGCAACAGCCAGUUUAAACAGAAUAACUGUAUUAUAAAGAUAAACCCUAGUCCUUUGAUUUUCCAACACAUUUUUAAAAGUGAAUUUAUUGUUACCGUUUGUAGUUUCCUGACUCAGCACUUUAUUUCUUAUAUUUCCAUUUUUUUCUCUCGGCACUUGCUGGUCAUCACGUCAUCUGCUGGUCGUCUCUUACUGUUCUAACUUCUGUAAAUGUAAUAUUAGCACUUGUUAAUGGUAUGGUUAAAAAAAAAAAAAUGAAGCCCUGUUAGUGAAGUAUCCAAACAGUUGCCACUUCCAGUUAAAUCAAACUGCUUUCAAUGCUUUGUGCAAGCCAAACUUCAGAGUAAAUAUGUGGAAACCAUUGUUCACUGUUUUUGCAGUCUUGCACUGAUCCUCUGUUGUCAAUGAUAAUACACCACUGGGAACAAAUAAUAUUUGUUUUUCUAUGGUUUUCUUUGGCAUUCUCUGUCAUGUGGUGAAGCUAUGCUUUAGAAAGAAAAGUCUUCUUGAUGCUCCAUCCACACACACUCUGGGACGUUUUAUAUACGCUGUAAUGCCUAGAAUCAUUGCAGUCUCUUUAGACGUAGUGAGGCCUGGUGUGAAGACCAAAGAAAUGCCACACUUCAAAGACUCUCUCCCAUCGUGCUGGUGAAAACAUCUUGCAGAAAACCACCAUGCAACAUCACCACAUGCAUCAGAGGAACCCACUGGUUAAGAAGGAAGAUGGAUGUUCUGAGCUGAGCGUACUGCUAAUGAAAAAAGGGUCAUGGGGAGCCUGGUCAUGGGCACAAGACAGGUGACACCCCAUCACAGGGCAUGAUCACACACACACACAGGAGGCAGAAAUCAAACCCCCAACCUUGGAGGUGUGAGGCAACAGUGCUAACCACUAAGCCACCAUGUCAUGGAUGGAUGGAUGUGAGGCAACAGUGCUAACCACUAAGCCACCAUGUCAUGGAUGGAUGGAUGGAUGGAUGGAUGUUAAGACCUGCCUGAUCCAUCCUGAUGCCCUGCUUCUGGUUGGAGUUCUCAUCACUUGGAAACCACUCGCUGCUGCUGAGGAUGGUCCCACAUGGACAGUCUUACAUGAGAUUACUGUGGAUGGUACCACUUAGAAACCAUCAAGAUGGCUUUGGACUUUGGACUUUCUUUUGAUAUAAACAGUUUUGCUAUGAUGGCUUAGGACUACAAUUGCUAUGAUAGCUUUAGGACUGUAAUUACUACAAACAGGUUUGCACUUAAGUCUCCAUCAGUGAACAGUUAUAUAACAAAAUAGACUUCAUGUGAAAACUAUAAUGAAUUUUCUGGUUACACAAUUGCACUUGUUGACCAUGUAGUACACAGUUAUAGAAGGGAUUUAUUUGUAAUUGCACUAUCCGGUGUCACCCAGAUGAGGAUGGGUUCCCUUUGGAGUCUGGUUCCUCUCAAGGUUUCUUCCUCAUAUCGUCUCAGGGAGUUUUUCCCCGCACUGUCACCUCUGGCUUGCUUAUUAGGAAAAAAUGUAUAAAUUGAAAAUUUCUAUCCUGAAUUUAUAUAUUUCUGUAACUCUGCUUUGUGACAACGUCCAUUGUUAAAGGCGCUAUACAAAUAAAAUUGAAUUGAAUUCAAUGUAUGAGUGUGUGUGUGUGUGUAUGGUGCUAUCCAGGGUGUAUUCCUGCCUCAUGCCUAGUGUUCUGGCUCUGGAUCCACUGACCAUUUUUCUUUAGAAACUAUGUCUCACGGAGUUCCUAACACUCGUGUGCAAUUAUGGUGCUUACCACUGAAUUCUACCAAGCAUUUCACCACAUGUCUCUGUACCAAGUAAAGAACAGAAAGAUAUUGAGGCAGAUAUUAUGAAGUGAGUUGAGUAAACUGUUUUCUGUUCUUUUUUAAAAUACAGGGAAACAAAAUUCUUGCCUGUUUUAAUCAGCCAUGUGCUACAGAUGAGGUAGAUUAGGUGUUUUUUUUUUUAAUGCUAGAAUGUUCUUUUAAGUGUUCAUAGAUGUACUGGCAGCAAUGGUCAGCAAUGAAAAUGCAAGUUUCAUUUUGUGUGUGUGUGUUGAAUGGAAUGCAUCACUUUUCAGUUUUCAUCACUGUUAAUGCAACGUCACUGAAAUAUGCAGGGAAACUGAAUUAAGUUUUGUCUGGAUGGAACACAGGUACCAAAAGGUUGAGCGUCACUAAAAAUGACUUACUGCUGCUCAGAUGUGUGUGAGUUUAUGAAGUCUGAGUGAUGCCAGAGAUCUUAUCCUGCAUGUAAUGCAGAGGAAAGUGUGCUUCAUUAGUAGUUAACUGGCUUUAAUAAAUGCCAUGAGGGCAGUAGGAGCGUUCAGAACCAGUUGCACGUAAUUACCUGUUUUCACUGGGGACCAGCCAUGAUUAGCCAUGUCAAACAGUGAUUAGCAGAGGUCUACACACACACACACACACACACACACACACACACCAUUAGUGCCCUCAGCAUAUGCAUUUAUGAAUUCAUAUAGGAAAAUCUAAUAAAGGCACUGCUGGACAAAAUCAUUCAACUCAAGACCACAAGCACAAAUUGAACACUUGAUCCACUGCAAAGAAAAAAGUUCCAUCUGUCAAUCUUACACUGUAGAUAUUUUACAUUACAAGCUUUUAAGAGAUGUUAAGUGCACAAGACUCACCUCUGUAAACACACACUGUAAGCGUGUAAGAUAAACCUUAUCCAAGUGGUCCAUAACAAUCUAUUAUCCUUGAUCCUGUCACCACUUUCUAAACACUUCUUCCUGUAUCGGACUGAAGGUUUCACAUUGUGAGUGUUUAAUAGUAGAACAAUUGCAGAACUUUGAUCCUCUCAUCACUCCAUCAGGCAUUUGGGGUUGAGGUUAUUUGUGUUUGACGUGAUCAAGCGUGUGAGAAGGAAGUUGAAAGCAUCAGUCAUGGGAAUGUUUGUGUGUGCAGUAAUGCUAUACCUUAUUCAGUUAUAUUCUCUGCUUCAAAAAAACAUACUUGUGGAAAUAAUUGUUCAGAUACAAUGGUGUGCUCACAUAUUUAUGCACACAUAAAGCAUAGACAUACAGUAGAGUUGUUGUGCAAAUGUUUGUAUCCCCUUACCUUGAAAUGAUGAAAUCAUUUAAUGUGAAGUAGCUAUGGUAGCUUCGUCAUUAUCACAAAUAACACAAAUGGUCAAAAGGUGUAUGUUAAGAUGCUGAUUUUAUAUUUCUGAAUGUGUUAUAAAUGUAGACUUCCAUUUGCUUUGACAUACUUCUUCUCGUACUGCUCUUCUUGUUCGCAAAUCUCUCUGGUGGAUUUUUUUCCUGUUAUUUUUUUCUUCUAUUCUUUGGUUGUUUGUAUUUACAUUUCUGCCAUUUGAAUUAGUAGCGGUUUUCUCUGUUCCUAAUAUACUCUGUGAUGGUCUGGUAUCCCAUUCAUGGCUCUGAAUGAAUGACUGGUGCUAAUGUUAUCUCUAAACACUAUACUGUCCCUUUUAUAUCCUUCUCCAAGGUCAGUGUUUUCUGUUUUAGCUCUUGUGUUGGUCGUUUCCUGAUUCCUAAUGACCCUACUACUCACAGCAAACAGAGAGUUGGCACCUACUUGAAGUUUUAUCGUUAAAGAUAAGACUAAGUGUUAAAAGGUAAUUAGACACCUUAAUAAAGUAAAGCACAUUCAAGUAAAUUAACUACAGGAUGUUAACAAGCAAGUAAUUUUCACUGGACAAAUUCGUUGUAAUAGGCCAUCUUGUAACAGAUUUCCAAUAAAUAAACAUGGAAUUGUUUUGUGGAUCAACUUCGAAGUGCAAGCUUUUACCCCUAACUGCAUUUGGUAAUAGAGCAAAUGCUUCAAUGGCAUUCAUUAUAAAAACUUUAAUAUAAAAUACACCAAGUUUCUUACAAAUUAUGAGCAGCCUCAAACCUGAGCAGCACAAGACCUUAAUAAAACAUUUAUCAUUGCAGUGUUUAGCAACAGCUAGAGUUAGAGCCGUCUCAACAGGCCUCAGGGGCUAUGAGCUGGUUUUA